AAGUCGUAACAAGGUUUCCGUAGGUGAACCUGCGGAAGGAUCAUUAUCGUAGGGCUCUUGUCCUGUCGAGAUAGCGUCCUUGCCUAUUUUUUGGAGCACCUUUCGUUUCCUCAGCAGGCUUGCCUGCUACUGGGGACCCCUCAAACUCUUUGUAAAUACAGCAAUCGUCUGAAAAACAAACAAAAAAAUCAAAACUUUCAACAAUGGAUCUCUUGGUUCUG
rnacentral:misc_RNA from 1 species